AGAGUUUGAUUCUGGCUCAGAACGAACGCUGGCAGCGUGGAUGAGGCAUGCAAGUCGAACGCAAGUCCUUAGAAUCAAUUCUUCGGAAGAGAAUCUUUGGAUGAGAGUGGCGGAAGGGCGAGGAACGCGUGGGCAAUCUGCCCUCAAGCUGGGGAUAACAUCGGGAAACCGGUGCUAAUACCGAAUGUGGUUAUCUGUCGUAUGGCAGGUGGACUAAAGUCGGGGAACCUUCGGGCCCUGGCGCUUGAGGAGGAGCCCGUGUCCUAUCAGCUUGUUGGUGAGGUAACGGCUCACCAAGGCUAUGACGGGUAGCUGGACUGAGAGGUUGGUCAGCCGCACUGGGACUGAGACACUGCCCAGACUCCUACGGGAGGCUGCAGUCGAGAAUCUUUUGCAAUGCGCGAAAGCGUGACAAAGCGACGCUGCGUGGAGGACGACGGCCUUCGGGUUGUAAACUCCUGUCAUCCGGGAAAAAUUGCGGGUGGGUUAAUAGCCCGUCCGCUUGAUGUUACCGGAAGAGGAAGCCACGGCUAACUCUGUGCCAGCAGCCGCGGUAAUACAGAGGUGGCUAGCGUUGUUCGGAUUUACUGGGCGUAAAGCGUGCGUAGGCGGUUUCGUGUGUCGAAUGUGAAAGCCCAUCGCUCAACGAUGGAAGUGCAUUCGAAACUGCGGAACUAGAGUGCAGGAGGGGAGAGCGGAAUACUUGGUGUAGCGGUGAAAUGCGUUGAUAUCAAGUAGAACACCGGUGGCGAAGGCGGCUCUCUGGAAUGCAACUGACGCUGAGGUACGAAAGCUGGGGGAGCAAACAGGAUUAGAUACCCUGGUAGUCCCAGCUGUAAACGGUGCACACUUGGUGUGGGAGGUAUUGACCCCUUCCGUGCCGGAGCUAACGUGUUAAGUGUGCCGCCUGGGGAGUACGGCCGCAAGGCUAAAACUCAAAGAAAUUGACGGGGGCCCGCACAAGCGGAGGAGCAUGUUGCUUAAUUCGAUGCAACGCGAAGAACCUUACCAGGGCUUGACAUGGGAGCCGUAGCAAUACGGUUAGCCCGGUGAAAGCCGGGCGUGUCCACACAGGUGCUGCAUGGCUGUCGUCAGUUCGUGCCGUGAGGUGUUGGGUUAAGUCCCGCAACGAACGCAACCCUUGUGCUUAGUUGCUACCCCGCAAGGGCGCACUCUAAGCAGACUGCCUGUACAAGCAGGAGGAAGGUGGGGAUGACGUCAAGUCAGUAUGGCCCUUACGCCCUGGGCUGCAAACGUGCUACAAUGGUCGGUACAAAAGGACGCAAGACCGCGAGGUGGAGCAAAUCCCCAAAACCGGCCCCAGUUCGGAUUGGAGUCUGCAACUCGACUCCAUGAAGUCGGAUUCGCUAGUAACGGCGUAUCAGCUACGACGCCGUGAAUACGUUCCCGGGCCUUGUACACACCGCCCGUCACAUCAUGAAAGCCGUCUGCACCAGAAGUCGCUGAGCCAACCAUUUAUUUGGAGGCAGGUGCCGCAGGUGUGGGUGGUGAUUGGGAUGAAGUCGUAACAAGGUA
rnacentral:rRNA from 1 species